rnacentral:rRNA from 1 species
CACGCAGGCGGUCCAAUAAGUCAGGUGUGAAAUCCCCCGGCUCAACCGGGGAACGGCACUUGAAACUGUUGGACUAGAGUGUGGUUGGGGUGAGCGGAACUCCUGGUGGAGCGGUGAAAUGCGUAGAUAUCAGGGAGGAACACCGGUGGCGAAAGCGGCUCACUGGACCACAACUGACGCUGAGGUGCGAAAGCGUAGGGGAGCGAACG